rnacentral:lncRNA from 1 species
UAAAAUUUGAGAUCAGCGUCGCAGAUUUGGUUCUUGGAGGCUCACGGCUUUUUAAGGUGCAGCCACGGGCUGACUGCUAACUUUCUCGUUUCCUCUUUGACACGGCAACCAACGACAUAGUUUCGAUUUGAAGAGCCUUCUUCGGUCGCAUGGUGUGGAACAGCGCGUCAAAUGCUGCGUAGUGGGCUAUUCUUUCUUCGGAGUAACGGAAGUUAUUUUCAUUUGUACGAACGAAGUAAUAUUUGAGCUUAUCUUCCCUCCCAUGAGCUGCAUUACGUCAACAUCAAAACGUAUCCAAUGCGCACUUCUAAUGAAAUGCAGCUGAAUCUUCUAUGUCGUUAUGUUACUCAUAUAAUUCCCAUUGUAAAACCACUUUUCAAGCCUCCAUAGUACCGAUGUGAAUCACAGUAAACACGCGUGUCCGGUGACCGGCCAUGAAGCAAUGCGACUGUGCUUGGAAAGUGGCGGAGAGACACCCGUUGACGAUUUUGAUGCUAACAAACCACGAUGUGACUUUCUAAACUCUUGAGAUGAGUCACGUGUCAUGUUUAUGUACGGGAAAAAGUUGCGUAUAUGGGCAGAUUUGCUGUUCUGGACAGGCGCUAACACUCUCUGGCGACGAGGAGCUACAACGCCACUACCCGGUGAACCUCGACUCUGGUACUUCUGAGGUCUCUGUAUGGCUUUUUUUCUGUUGUAUGUCUGACGAUAAAGGGACAAAGUAAAACUUCUAAUGCAGUGAUGGACGUAGCAUUAGGGGAAACACUCCAUUUGUAAAGAAAUUGCUGCUCCGCCGCUGCAUACAACAAAGUCCAUCGGUCGAACGAAAGCGGGCAACGGACCAGGACCGGUGACAGCCCCCCACAGCGUUCCGUCGUUGGGACAAUCGUGUAUGCUGACGGGCUCUUGAUAAUAUGCAAGUGCAGAAAGCUGCAUUCUUAGCAUAAUAUACCGUUUGGGAAGUCUCGCGGUCGGAGCUGCGGUAGCCGUCGAAGUUACGAAUGUCUCAUAUCGUCACCGUGGACACCAGGAAUCCUUUUGACCUGGUUCUUGUGUAUGCCGCUGCCUCUAAGCGGUGGGGUUUCUCCGAAGAAUUUGAGCUAGCUGUCCGUGGUUAGUAUCGAUGCUGCCAUCACUGAUCAUCGCGUCGAUGACAUUAAGUGGUGCAGUUUCCAGUAGUAGGGUGAGGUUCGUGUUUAACAAUUUUGGGGAACUGUGGACCGGAAGACGUAGCUUUGUAUGUGAGGGGUAUGCAUGUCGCUUUCGGUGUACUGGGGAGUGCUUAACCAUCACGUGACGCAAACGUUUUCUAGCUCGCCGGCAGCAGCCCGUAACUAACUCAGCCUGUUGGAUCGAUGCGUUGUUGGAGAUGAGCAACAUAUGUGUAUCACCCAAGAUCCGAUAUUCUAACUCCCUGACGUGUAUAACAGCAUCCGGUGUCGGUGUCGAUGAUUUCGACUUCCGUCGCUUUACUUAAAACGCGUUUUGUUUUGAGUACCUGUCAGAAGUACUGACUCAAGUUCUACCAUUGUAAACUUGCUGCAGCGGGCAUGUGUUGGCUGCACACACGCUGAGCAGCUCCAAAGUUGACUUCCGCAUUCACAGACCUUUCACCAACCGUAGCAUUUCAAGAGAGCAAAUGGUCUGUGGAAAGGUAUGAAGUGCAUGUAAAGGCAUGCUUUCUUCCGCGGUGGUCGCACGUCGGUGGACUCCUGAACGUGAGGACAGGCAACCCAGGAGUUCUGUUUGUAUCGACGUGGUAUUAGCACACCUGCUUAGCAUGAAACCUCCUUAGCGGCGGCACGUUGGGGACGAAAGGAAAUGCAAACAUCUGAAGAAGGAUCAGGUCAACUUUGGCUGGUGGUGCGAUCUUGUUGCAUCAUCCACCAUAGCGAACCAUCGAAAGCUUCAAGUGACUCGUCGUUGUGUUGUACAUGAACUGCAGUUUUCUUGAUUGGUGUGUGAUAACUUUGGGGCAUUCCAGCUUUUGAACACUAAGGCGCAAGCCAUCAAAUGAAAUGCUACUGUCCGCGAUCUGCGAGUGUCACAGUACAUAUCAACCGAGUCUUCAAUUUGAGACAGUUCGAGAGUUCACACCAGUGUGCAUUAGCUCGUUCUACAGUAUUCUUGGAAACCAUGUGUGGAGCUGUGCUCUCGCAUCUUCUGUUCGGUCAGGCGGUCGUGAGAAAUCAGUGUACGAAAUAUGUCGCCAAGCGACUCCAUCAGACGGACGAAGAUGCAGCCGAGCCUCCCAGAAGGCGUGACAUCGUCGCGAAGCGGCCUUACACCGCGAGAGCCGUAGUGGAUGUCAUUUCGUCUGGGCGUCGUGUGUUUUUUGGAGAACUGCUUCAGAGGUCACUCACCUCUCUGGAACUGACGGGCCUGUCAACGAGAACACCUGCUCGUCAAGUUUCCCCUGAGCUCAGGCAGUCCUGCCCAGCGAAUUCCAGAUGGGUGCAAACGGCCUCCUCGGGAUUGGCUAAAGUAGAAAUCCACUGCAGCGGCUUUGCCCACAUGUAUUUGCGGAAGGAGAUUCAAUUGUGCUUUGCUAAGUUGCCGCCAUGCAAGGCUUUUCCGGCGUAGCGCGCUGUCGAGGCUAUCGGUAGCACGUGGGACAGAAAUGCAAGAGAAGUGAACACCAAUGGUAUCAACAAGUCCUCCAGGCAUACAAUGAGUUGUAAACAGGAUUGGAGGGCGAGCAUGCGACGUGAAGUUGACGCGGUUUUUUGACUUCCUGGCACCCGACCUGCAUGUACAUUCAACUAGAGCCAGCCUUUCUCCUCCUUUAGGAGAUUCAGCCACCCCUGUGAAUGUAAACAAACCAAGGCAGUUUUGAACCCUCCCCUGGACUACACAAGGGACUUCAUGAUUCCCAUCUAAAGUCGCAUCCACAGUUUGUCCGUCGUGGUCUCUCCAUUGAUGGAUUGUUCCAUCUGCGUAACUCGUAUAUUUGGGCUGUGUCAGAGGAAAAUAUGUGGAAGCACCACCGCAUUCUUCGUGUCAAGAUGACGUAUUUUGGACCAACUUUCCCGUAGUUCUUUGUCUAUUCGAGACGGUGACUCGUUCACCAAACACUUGGACAGAUUAGUGUCCGACGCCUGAACUGUUUCUCCCAAGCACGCCGCUUGCAUCAGGGGGUGAAAGUCAACUAUCUGAAUUUAGGCAGCCUGUGCGGAAGGAUUUCCAGUCAUGUUUUCCGCAGACAACUGCCCACACGCUAGAGAAAUGAUGCACGUAAUGUCCGCUCAUCGUUUCUCCAAUUGAGCAGGGGGAUGGACAGUACUUGAAGCAGAAACGGAGGAAACUCCAAGACGCACUAAUAACGGCGGAUCCCUUGAAAGCUGGUGAGGGGUUUUGCAGACACACGACAGUCACGAGAGAUGCAGGCAGGCUGGAGCGUUCCGAAAGGGCUGCUGGCUGUCCACCAUUAGUGAGCGCACUCAUCAUGAGCUGGUCACCGGGGGGUACCUGUUCCGUCUACUGAACUUUUGUAAGGUGUGCGAUUUACCCAAGUUUUCUGUGGUUCGGACUGUUCCAUCGCGAGGCACGGAGUUGUUUGCAACGCUUUCACGGAUUGUACGGGGACCGCGACUCCACUACGGAUACCGAAAUAACACUCCCGAGCUACAGCAACAUGUCAUCGAAAGCGGGGGGAAAGUGUUGUUGCAACGAGUGGGCGGAGACGCUGUGUGAAAAUAGAGGUCGCUGUAACCAUGUGCAUGGAAGAACACGGCAAUUCGACGUUGCCGACGUGAUAUGCAGCCUUUCGACCAGUGCGUUCACUCGUUUCUAAGGCCGUACCAUGAUUUCGGAUCGUGUCUAAAACAAAGAAGUGGAGGAGUGCUUCAGCACCUCUCAUGCGCAGAUCUUUCGUAACAAAUGCACAUGGCCAAAGACUGAGGCCGCGAAGCAACAGGAGGGGAAGAGAGGCGAACAGGCGGACUUAGGAUUUAGCACUUCGAUUGAGGAGAAGGGUAUUAUUUGGACAGCAACAAUUCAUGGAAACGGUCACUGGGUGACGUCAGAUAUAUGCUCAGACACAGUGUGCUUACCGAUCAACAACCCAAAACAACAACUGAGAGAGCGGUCCUCCAUGCGUGCUUCAAUCCGUUCUUCUCCUAUUUAGUUUGAAACACAACUGCAGUACUCGAGGCGAGAUCAAUAAGAAGUUGUCGCUGGUGAGCGACAAGGGCUCUCUGGUUGGGCAACGCUGCGACGUUUUCUGGUAGCUCCCGACUGGCGUCUCUUGUCUCACAUGACUUUUUGUCUCCCUCCUCCGCAAGCUUAUGCAGUGCCAUAAGUUUUUUGGAGGCUGCUCGGUACCACUGAAGUAUUCCUGAGACAGACCGUGACGGAAGGUCCUGAAACAGAGGGACAACAUACAAUGGUGUGGUCAAGCGUCGUAAAGUAGGCACUAGCGGCUGCCAAAAGCAAUAGACUGGCAGCACUCAUUGCCACCAGUUCCUCCACAUGCUCCAUCAGUAACGUACUUGCAGACUGGGCAUAGAGAAGUGCGCCUCAUUUGGGCGCAUCACAAAGCGCGAUCGCUUCUUGGGGCUGCUCGCUCCUCGACUGACAACUGCGUCUUCACAGCAAGUGGACUUGUCCGUUUCCGAGACGUCUUCGUCGCCUCCUGCGCAACGCACGGAAUCCGGAACGGUCGUCGUUUCCUCCUGGACAUCGUCGACCGGUGCGAACCAGUUCGAGACGCAGGCUUCGGAUAAUCGUACGGUGUCGUCGUCGAGUUCAGCAGUGCCCGUAUCGCCCUGUGGCACAACGAGAAGGUCGUCCAUAUGCGUCAACUUGAAAUAAUGGAUAACCUCGAAAAAGUUGGUCGACAGACCAUUGUGCGCGAAGCGAUUAUCAUCACUCGACAUUUGGCGAACGCUCCGUGACAGCUUGGGCUCGGGUGUACCUACAGAAGCAGCUUUCCGUUCAGGUCGUCGUUACCCGGGAAAAGACUAACGCCGAUGACGGCAGUUUCACGCGACUGACAGGUGAAAUAGUGUGAAACUGCGGAAUGUCGCUUCAGACAGAAGGGAGGGACGAGAACAGAGCAGGUUUUUUCGUGAACAGCUCGCCACUGUGAGGAAGUCACGCGAAAUUCGAUGCCUGCUAACUUCACUUAGAGUUCUUGCAUUUAAGAACUGUACACACUCAGGUGCUACUUUCCAGACGACUUUUGCAGGGUCGAGCGGGGACGUCUCGUGCAUCUCUAGGGCUCAUGCUGUCUGAUAUGGUCGACGUUCAUUCCCAGAGACACAUGCCACACACUUUACCACCCCGACAGAGAUUGGUCAGGAAACAUGAACCGCUGGGAUAUUUGGUGAAACCGAAAAAACGACUUUUCUGGGAGCGUCGAUUCCGCAUUAACAUGAAAGGCAUCUACGCGGGACUGCCGCUGAGGAAAAAACGAGUACGGCGGCGUGAGGACGAGAGACAUGAAUCGGCUUUCAGAAAACUGAAGACUUUUUCACAGUGGGAAGGAUUUCGUUUCGUUCAACUCAACUAUACUUUUCAAAACUCAUUACGACUUUACACGAUAGUUGUGUAGAAGCAGGUUUCUACGGCGGUUGCCGCUAUCUCUCCCACUGUCAAGAGUAUGUGACUCAGGGUACGUCACGAUGAAGCUGGGGCUGACACUACACAACGAAAAAGUACCACGCUUGUCACCAAAAUGUGUACGAUUUCUACAAGUGCAGCAAGUCUUUGUGUCGGGCUGGUUGACCGACACAUGGGUCUCGUGGGACUAGCGGCGCAAAGUGGUUUCGCGGCACCUGGGACUUCAUGCACCCAAAAACAAUUCUGCGACCAGGAAGGCAUUGAGCGUGCUCAUCUGCUAUGACAUGCGCUUUUUCGAUACUCUACUGGCCCCGACUCGGAAUAGUCUUAAUGUCGAAGGAUAUUGAAAUCCAACUCUUGUAGCUGUCUGUAGCAGUUCAUUGGGGUGUACAGUAACCACAAAGAAGUCAGUCGUCUGUAUGUCAUGAUUGGAGUAAUAUUCAGCAUCCUAGAU